rnacentral:rRNA from 1 species
GAUGAACGCUGGCGGCGUGCCUAAUACAUGCAAGUCGAGCGAACAGACGAGGAGCUUGCUCCUCUGACGUUAGCGGCGGACGGGUGAGUAACACGUGGAUAACCUACCUAUAAGACUGGGAUAACUUCGCGAAACCGGAGCUAAUACCGGAUAAUAUAUUGAACCGCAUGGUUCAAUAGUGAAAGACGGUUUUGCUGUCACUUAUAGAUGGAUCCGCGCCGCAUUAGCUAGUUGGUAAGGUAACGGCUUACCAAGGCAACGAUGCGUAGCCGACCUGAGAGGGUGAGCGGCCACACUGGAACUGAGACACGGUCCAGUCUCCUACGGGAGGCAGCAGUAGGGAAUUUUCCGCAAUGGGCGAAAGCCUGACGGAGCAACGCCGCGUGAGUGAUGAAGGUCUUCGGAUCGUAAAACUCUGUUAUUAGGGAAGAACAAAUGUGUAAGUAACUAUGCACGUCUUGACGGUACCUAAUCAGAAAGCCACGGCUAACUACGUG